rnacentral:RNase_P_RNA from 1 species
CGGGAUGGCGGGUCCGUCGCUUCCGUGCGUAAUGAGGCGGAAGAGGAAAGUCCGGGCAACAAAGAGCACCGCACUCCCCUCGGGGAGCUAUCGGCAACGGUAGAGUAACGUGACAGAAAACAACCGCCCAAGCGGCCCUCGGGCCGACGGCAAGGGUGAAAAGGCGGGGUAAGAGCCCACCGGACGCCACAGCGAUAUGGCGUGCCGCAUGUCUUGCGGGUUGCAAGGUCAAGUAUACCGGCAGGGAGCUUCGGCUCCACCGGGCUGCUCGCCCGGUGCCGGGGGGUAGACUGCUCAGAUAAAUGACGGACGGGCCGGCGAGGCUCCCUCCCUUCGGGGCAGGGACAGCACGCCGCCCACAUAACCCGGCUUAUACGCUGUCCCGCGUG